GGGAGGAGUCCCUCCUCCUCCUCAAUUUUUUGGAAUAGUUUCAUUAGGAAUGGUACCAGCUCUUCUUUGUACAUCUGGUAGAAUUCAGCUGUAAAUCUGACUGGUAAUGGGCUUUUUUGGUUGGGAGCCUGCAUUCCCUGCCUCCUAGUGGCUUCCUCCCAUCACUCGAACCUCUGUUUCCAGCCUCAGGAUUCCUAAUGUGACUCUGACGUUUCAUCUCCUGUUUAUGAGGACGCUUCUGAUUGCUAAGAUACAUACGGUGACACUAUGGAAGUUAACUUGAAGAUUAAAACCCUGAAAAAUAGAAAGAAUCUUCUAUGGUAUAUCACAGAGAUUACAAGGGCCUGAAUUAGAGUGGUGACAUUUUCAUCCCUUGAUAAUGGAUUAAAAACAAUUGAAUGAAGCUUUGGGGUGAACUUACAGGACUUUAUGGCAAACUUCAUAUGGGAGACUUACAUGAAGGGAGGAAGAAAUGCGUAUGUGUACAAAAUCAUGUGGAUAGAUGUGCAUUUGUGGGUAUCUGUGAAUACAAAUACACAAUUUUCAGACAGAAGUAGUAUAAGAAAAGGAAAUCAAACAAAGUCAAACAUUUUAAGUGUAGCUCUUGGUGCACUUUAAAAAAUUAUUAAAUUGAAGCUGUAGUUUAUUCUCAUCAUUGUCAUCCUAUAUUAGUGAUUUUCUUUAGCUUUUGAAAUUAAAUUCAUAAUAUUACAAUUCUGAAUUCCUAUGUAUGUAUAUGUUAAGAAUCCUUUAAUGGGACUGACUUUCAUAUGUGUGUGGCUGCAUUCUGAAAUAGUUGUCUAGUUGAUACAUAAAGCAGUGAGUGCUAUUUGUAAGAUAUAUUUAUAUUUAAAGUCUUCAUACAGUUAUUAACUAGCUCCAAUAUUACUGAAAUGAUUUCUCCAAAUAUCCUAUAUUUAAUUAUCAUGCUGGCAAAUUUAUUAUAACUUUGGUUUGAAAAAAUAUAUUAUGAUACAUAUCCACUGACUAAUGCCACCUAUCUGCUUUCCUGAAUUCAAAGUUUAUGAUUAUUUCCAUAAAUGUAUUUAUCAGUAUAAUCAAAAAUAAAAAUAACAUAAAUAAAAUUUCUGUGAGCUUUACACAUCUAAUGUGCAAUGAUUAUAAAUCUGGUCUUAUACACAUGGUAAAAAACAUUUAAGUCACAAAAGUAUACUUCAGGUUUAAGUAUAAAUCUGAAAUUAAAUUCUCAGAUUUAAGUAUAAUUUUUAAAAGCUUUGGUAAUUGUGUCCCUACUGUUAAAUUUAUUGUAUAGUUUUCACUAUAUCAUCUGACCUUUUAAUGUUUCUAGAAACUUGUGUGAGGUCUCAUACUUCAUGGCUAAUAAAGUAUUUAUUUUUCUAUUCUUGAUCAGUUUUGUUGGAUUUUAUCAAUUUUGUGAAAUCUAACACAUGACUUUCCUAAUUUUUUGUAUUGUUUUUGUGUUUUCUAUUUAAUUUCUUUUUCUCUUAUCCUUACGAUUCUCUUCCUGCUAUGUUUUCCUAGUUUAAUUUGGUGGGUUUUCUUGUUGUUGUUGUUGCUUCUUGGAAUACAAAUAAUAACAGUGCUGUAUGCCUGUAAUCCCAGACAGGAGAGGAUGAAGUGGGAAAAUUGCUUCAGCCUAGGAGUUUGAGAACCACCUAGGUGGCAGAGACAGACCCUGUCCUGAAAAAAAAAAAAAAAAAGGAAAUAGAUAAAAAUAAUAAAAUAAUAAAAAGGACAUUAUUCUUGAGCUUUUUCUCUAAUUAUUUUCCCUGAGAUAACUUGAAAGCUUUAAAAAUACAUCUGAGCAAUGCUUAGUCAAGUUUUACAAGUUUUUAUAUGCUAGACCAUCAUUUUCAUUUAGUUGAAAAUACGUGCUGUAUUUUAAAAUAUUUUGUUUGGAUCCAUUGCUUAUUUAAAAGUCUAGUGCUUAAUUUUUACACAAGUUUGCCUCUUCUAGUUAUUUUUAUUUUUUGUGUGUUCUACUCACUGGUAUUUACAUUAAAUAUUUAAGUUUAGAAUAUGUGUAUGUGUUCUGGAAAAGGUGGUACAUAGUUCCUGUUUUUCCUGUUAUUAAUAUCUUACAUUAGUAUGAUACAUUUGUCAUAAUAUUGAACUAAUGUUGAUGCAUUAUUAAUUUUAUCAUUGAUGGGUUUUUACUAUUACCAUUCUUAAUUGGGGACAGCAGUGUCAGAGGAGUUUGUUUAAGAUUUCAAACAGAGGCAAGAAUUGCUGUGUCUACUGAUCCAAAUGUUAUUACUGGGGUGGGAAACCCUCUCUUGUUAAGCAUGAAUUUUCAAGAUACAACAUUAACAAAAGUCCCUGUUAGAUUCAAAUUUUCUUAUUUUUAAAUUAUCAUCUCUUCUUGUGUCCACAAUCCUCUCCAUGGUGCCAUGUUAUAUUUAAUAGUCAUAUAUCCUUAACUUCCUCUUGGCUAUGACAGUUUCUCAGAUUCCUGUUGUCUCUGAUGACCUUGACGCUUAGUAUUGAUGAGGAAUUUUGUAUAAAGUACCUGAAAUGGAACUGGUCUAAUGUUUAUUUCGUGACUAGACUGAUAAUGUUUUUAGGAAGAAGACCAUAGAAAUAAAGUGCCAUUUUCAUUUCAUCAGGUCAAGAGUACAUCUAUGCUCUUAUCCUGACUUGUCACUGUUGAUGCUAAACUUAAUCACCUGGUUGAGUUAAUAUCUGUCAGGUUUCUCCAGUAUAAAGUUAUUCUAUGUUUUUUCCCUUUUCAUACUUUACUCUUUGGAAGCAAUCAAAUUUUGUAUGUUAAUCAUGUAUCUUACGACCUUGUUACGCACGCUCAUUAAAUCCAAGAGUUUUUGAGAUCUUUUGUUUGUUAAUUAUGUUUUUUGCAUUUGCUGAGAUUUUCUGCCUAGGCAAUCAUGUCACCUGUGAGUAAAGACAAUUUCAUGAUAUCUUUGCCAGUCUUUACAUAUUUAUUUCUUUUCCUCAUCUUACUGCACUAGGUUGGAGUCUUCUCGGUGUAAUAUUGAAUAGGAAUAGCAGGAGAGGCCAUUCUUGCCUUGCUCUAGUUAUAAGGGGAAAAUAUGCAGUUUCCUUCCAUUAACUAUAAUGUCAGCUAUACGUUUUCGGUAUAUGUUCUUUAUAAUAUUGAGGAAUUCCCUUCUAUGUCAUUUGUUGAGAGGUUUUAUCAUGAAUGGCUAUUGAAUACAAAUAAAUCUUUUUCUGUACCAAUUAACACACUCACAUGACUGUUUUUUAGUUUGUUAAUGUGGUCGAUUACAUUAGUUGACUUUUGAAUACCUAAAUGUUUAGCCUUGAAUAUCUGGAGUAAAUCCUAGUAAAUUGUGGUGUGCAAUUAUUUUUAUGCAUUUUAAGAUUUGAUUGCUAAUACAUUUGCUAUGUUUUUUAGAGAUAUUGGUCUGUAAUUUUUAUUUUCUGUAAUGUCUUUAUGUGAUUCUGGAAUUAGGGUGAUUUUGGC
rnacentral:lncRNA from 1 species